rnacentral:lncRNA from 1 species
CUUUAUCCUAUGCUUUGAGCGAGACUGGGAAGCAAUGAGGUCAGAGGGACCUUGAGGCUUCUUCAGUUCUGCAUGUCAAAACACCAUAUUUUUGGGUAUUGGCUUGAGCCUUAACGUUAUCUAAUGAUGUUCUGUCUUCACCAAUCUAUCAUGAGAAUUUUUGUUAAUUUCUUUUAUAUUCCUCAUCUACUACAUGAGUCAAAUCAGUUCUCCACUAACGACUAAAGAUUAAAUGAUAGCAAUUCUUAUCUUACGACAUCAAAUGGUAAAUAAUCAGAGUAAUUUAUCAUCAAAUAUAACCCCAGGUAUUCCUCAAGGAGACAUACUGUCUGUAAUGGUAAAACUAACAUGAGAGACUAAGAAUAGAGUCAUCAAAACUGGUCCUUGCCCUUUUUUUGCCUUUUUAAAAUUCACCACUUUUAACUAUUUUGUGAUUGUUUGUGUGUUUAUGUGUUUAUUUGUGUGUGUAUGUGUGUGUUGGUGGUACUUUAUGGAUUCUGUAAUCGAAAAUUUAAAGUCUGGGAUAAUGAAUGUGUCAAAGCACAGGACGAAGUGAAACCUGGUGCUUCCUGACAAUAAAUGUUUAAUCCUCUUUCCUUGGAGAUUUCAGGAAACUCCAGUAAUUGAGGAAACAAGAAUAUGUAACCCUGGAGUACAACUUUUUAUGAACACUGUGUAGUUCAUGACACACAAGGGAUCUUUUAAAAGCAGACGUUGGUGUUCAGAAACAGAGAUCAGAAGCCAAAGAUGAAGAUGCCCCCAGGCAAGAAGCAGUUUAAAAAUAAAUGGGAAAAUUUCCUAAGAAGAGCAGAAAAAGAUUGUUCUGGCUCAUAAUUUUCAAGGUUUUUACUAAUUCUC